rnacentral:lncRNA from 1 species
AUGGAUUUGAUUCGAACAAUUCUAAAAGCAGUGAGAUGGUUCGUUGGGCUAUCGCCAUUAGAUUCGACUAGCAUCGGAGCCCAUGAACCGAAAAGUGCGUAAGGAACCAAUAAGUUCUCCACCAAUCCUCUUGACCCCUGGGAUAGAUGUAUAGAGCAUGCAAAUCAUUGAAUUCCAUUGAUUUCUAACUAGUGAAUCCCCCACAAACAUUAGCCUUUUACCCCUUAAUCUCUCUACUAUU